UGUGAUAGAGGUUGCAUUUGACU
rnacentral:miRNA from 1 species